rnacentral:pre_miRNA from 1 species
UUAACUCAAUUUUGUAUGGAGUUGGAAUGUUUGCUUACGUUUGCCGCUAGGGGCGCUGUUCCAACUGCAUACAAAUUUGAGUUA